rnacentral:rRNA from 1 species
UACGAAGGGGGCUAGCGUUGCUCGGAAUUACUGGGCGUAAAGGGCGCGUAGGCGGGUCGUUUAGUUAGAGGUGAAAGCCCAGGGCUCAACCCUGGAAUUGCCUUUAAUACUGGCGGCCUUGAGUAUGGCAGAGGUGUGUGGAACUCCGAGUGUAGAGGUGAAAUUCGUAGAUAUUGGGAAGAACACCGGUGGCGAAGGCGGCUCACUGGCUCGUAUCUGACGCUCAGGCGCGACAGCGUGGGGAUCAAACAGG